AAACAAACAAACACAUAUCUAAACGAUGUGUAUUAAUUUAUUUAAAAGAAAACAAGAGGUUCACGAUGGCUGCGGAAUUGCUGAAAAGAGAGCGUGAGGCGAAUUGGUCCCAUGAGGGAAAAAGACUGCUUCCGUGAAGUUAUAAAGCCUUUGUUAUAAAAUUUACUAUACUUCUUUAUACAAAUUACGAAAUAAAUUGACCAUGAACA